rnacentral:rRNA from 1 species
UACGAAGGGGGCUAGCGUUGUUCGGAAUUACUGGGCGUAAAGCGCACGUAGGCGGUCUGUCGCGUCGGCUGUGAAAACCCGGGGCUCAACCCCGGGCCUGCAGUCGAUACGGGCAGACUAGAGUGCGGUAGGGGAGACUGGAAUUCCUGGUGUAGCGGUGAAAUGCGCAGAUAUCAGGAGGAACACCGGUGGCGAAGGCGGGUCUCUGGGCCGUAACUGACGCUGAGGAGCGAAAGCGUGGGGAGCGAACAGG